CCCUUAGAUGUUCUGGGCCGCACGCGCGCUACACUGACGAAGUCAGCGAGCAUGUCCUACGCCGACAGGUGCGGGGAAUCUUGUCAAACUUCGUCGUGAUGGGGAUUGAUUAUUGAAAUUCUUGAUCAUCAACGAGGAAUUCCUAGUAAGCGCAAGUCAGCAGCUUGCGUUGAUUACGUCCCUGCCCUUUGUACACACCGCCCGUCGCUACUACCGAUUGAAUGGUUUAGUGAGUUCUUCGGAUUGGCGCCACUGCGGCUCAGCAAUGGGCUCGGUGGAUGCCGAAAAGUUGAUCAAACUUGAUCAUUUAGAGGAAGUAAAAGUCGUAACA
rnacentral:rRNA from 1 species